rnacentral:lncRNA from 1 species
GUAGAAAAAGUUCCAGCUUCCACAAUCCUUUAUUAAACAUUUGACAAGUCGCAUCACGUCUUUACAAUGACUUCAUUUUGUCACAUUACUCUUUUGUUCAGUCAGGAAAACAAUCCACAAUCUCUCUUUAGGUCUCUCAAGAAAAACGAAAAGCAAAAGGAAUUUGUUCAACAAAACGUUUCUACGUGUAUCAAAUUCAACUAUAUUUUAAAGCUAUUCUGAUUGUGAAAAUGAGCAUUUAGCCAGACGAUGUCUUUUAAAAAAUUUCCAAGUUGUUUGGUU